rnacentral:rRNA from 1 species
GAUUCCCCCAGUAACUGCGAGUGAAGAGGGAAGAGCUCAUCAUUGGAAUCUGGCAGCUUUACGCUGUCCGAGUUGUAGAUGAGAAGAGUAGGCCAUCUGGACUGCUGGACAUCCAAGUACAAUAGGCCGUCAGUGGGACAUCGUAGAGGGUGACAAUCCCGUCUUUGAUGUCCAAGUUCGAGUCCUAUACGAUGCCUAUCUCUAGAGAGUAGAGCAGUUUGGGAUUUGCUGCUUCAACAUGGGAGGUAGACUCCUUCCAAGGCUAAAUAUUGGCGAGAGACCGAUAGUGAACAAGUACCGUAAGGGAAAGAUGAAAUAGUACUCUGUAAAGGGAGUCAAAAAGUCGUGAAAUUGUUGCGAGAGAACCGAUUCAAGUCAGCCUCAAGCUAGAGCCCCUCUUAGGGCCUUAGCCAAUAAUGCUUCUUGGACUAGCUUUGCCAGCGGUCUUGUCUUUUCUUAUAUCGACUUGACUUGGCUUCAUGCGCGAGCACCAACAAAGCCCAAGCCCUUGGCUUGACCGUUGUUGAUGAUCACCGAGUGGGAACGCGCUGCUGGCAGAAUGGCUUGCAAUCGACCCGUCUUGAAACACGGACCAAGGAGUCUAACAUGUAUGCGAGUAUAAGGGUGACAAAACCCGUAUGCGCAAUGAAAGUGACUAUCGUUUGCAUGGUUGUUGUGCGCCUGACGACUGGUACGAAAUCAGCUGCUCCUCAGACGGCCACUGCCCAGGUUCUAUGGUAUGAUCCCAUGAACAUGGAGACGGAGCAUACAUGCUAGGACCCGAAAGAUGGUGAACUAUGCCUGGACAGAGUGAAGCCAAGGGAAACCCUGGUGGAGGCUCGUAGCGAUUCUGACGUGCAAAUCGAUCGUCUGAUCUGGGUAUAGGGGCGAAAGACUAAUCGAACCAUCUCAUAGCUGGUUCCUGCCGAAGUUUCCCUCAGGAUAGCAGAGACAUAGAUGAAGUUGCAUGCGGUAAAGCGAAUGAUUAUCGACGCUGGGGCUCUAAUGGGCCUCAAUCUAUUCUCAAACUGUGAAUGCGUGCGUAUGGACUGUUCCUUAGCAUAAGAAGGCCUGCCAGCAAUGCUUCAGUCUCUAGUGGGCCAUUUCUGGUAAGCAGAACUGGCGAUGCGGGAUGAACCGAAAGCGAGGUUAAAGUGCCAGAAUGUACACUAACCAGAGAUAAAAGGCGUAUGUGCAUGGACACAGUAGGGCAGUGGCCAUGGAGGUUGGCAUCUGCUAAGGAGUGUGUAACAACUCACCUACCUAAUGUACUUGCCCUGAAAAUGGAUGGCGCUCAAGUGUACUACUCAUACCUCGCCAUCAGCCUUAGUGGGGGGAGCUCGGGUGUCCAAAGCCCAAGGCCGAACCCCUCCAAUGGAUGGGCUGAUGUGUAGGCAGGCGUGAAGGU